CAGUAGCCGCGGUAAUACGUAGGUCCCGAGCGUUGUCCGGAUUUAUUGGGCGUAAAGCGAGCGCAGGCGGUUAGAUAAGUCUGAAGUUAAAGGCUGUGGCUUAACCAUAGUACGCUUUGGAAACUGUUUAACUUGAGUGCAAGAGGGGAGAGUGGAAUUCCACGUGUAGCGGUGAAAUGCGUAGAGAUGUGGAGGAACACCAGUGGCGAAGGCGACUCUCUGGUCUGUAACUGACGCUGAGGAGCGAAAGCGUGGGGAGCGAACCGGAUUAGAUACCCCCGUAGUCCUGUCUCUUAUACAC
rnacentral:rRNA from 1 species